AAAAAUAAAAAAAUAAAAUUAAGAAUCUGGAAAAAUAAAAAUAGAAUUUAAAGUGAAUUGAAAUUGUGAAAUUAUAUAAAUUGAGAAAAUUAAAAUGAAGACUAUAAAAAUAAACAGAGUUUGGGGAAAAGAGAAAAUUUCUUAUGUGGCGAGAUUCCAGCUUCCGGUUGUCUCGUUCCGCCUUGGGUUCCAUCCUUGGCUUUUAAGUAACCUUUCUCAACUUAAGUAAGCCAGUUAUAGUGGAAGAGGACGCCUACGACCACCAGCUCCAAAGAUUAGACUUACGAUUUUUA
rnacentral:lncRNA from 1 species